rnacentral:rRNA from 1 species
UACGAAGGGGGCUAGCGUUGUUCGGAAUUACUGGGCGUAAAGCGUGCGCAGGCGGCUUCUCAAGUCAGGGGUGAAAGCCCAGAGCUCAACUCUGGAAUUGCCUUUGAGACUGGGUGGCUUGAGUACGAGAGAGGUGAGUGGAAUUCCCAGUGUAGAGGUGAAAUUCGUAGAUAUUGGGAAGAACACCGGUGGCGAAGGCGGCUCACUGGCUCGUAACUGACGCUCAUGCACGACAGCGUGGGGAUCAAACAGG